rnacentral:lncRNA from 1 species
GAGGUCUUCUCGUUUAAUAGUAUAGAUUUCUAACAUUUUGUAACAGUAAAUUUUAAUAACACAAACAAUCCGUAUUUUCAUGCCAGUAUCGAAAUACUGGCUACUGGGCUGGUGAUACCUUUGUAAAAUUAGGGAAAAAUGGAUAUUUAUUUUAACAAUUUUUUUAUUCUAGAGAUUCUAGAGUGUCACCAAAUAAGGCCGCAUAGUUCAAAUAAGAUUUACAUUUCUAUUGAUCAUAAGCUUGAGACAAAUUCCCACAUGUUCUAACAUGUUGAAAUAACCGUCACGUACCAUGAAUAAGCUCAUCAUAAAUAACAGGAUUUUUGUACGAUGGACGUGCAUUUUGUCCAAAAACGACGCAUCAGUGACGCUUCAAUCAAACAAGAUAAAUCU